rnacentral:lncRNA from 1 species
AGCAUCUGAUCCACUCUGGGACCUAGAGGACUUGCACUUUCCAUAGAGAUUGGUGAACAGUGUUUGCACACCAUCCUGGCCAGCGGCCCCGGGAGAGGUAAAGGAAAGAGUCUCAUGGGCAGCUGUGAAGAAUGAAGACAUUGCCAGAUGACGGUCAUCAGUACCAUCAUGGUUCAUCACUGAAUGCUCAUUAAAGUAAGAACCUAUGAUGUCACCGUUUGCUGUGUAUAAACAAGGCAAAGAAAGAGGCUACCUACCUCUG